AUCCUGUGCUGAGAGCCCGAGUGUCCAAAACAUUCUUCCCCAGCCGCACACACUGACUCCAUUCCGUCAGGAAGUCUGUGAUCCACCUGCAGGUGGAGUCAGGCACAUGGAGCAGGGAAAGCUUGUUCUGGAGCAAAGCCAGAAGGAUGGUGUUGAAUGCAGAGCUGAGGUGCACAAACAGGAUCCUAGCGUAGGAUCCUGGGGAGUUCAGGUGGUGCAGGAUGAAAUGCAGGGCCAGGUUUAUGGCGUCGUCUACAGACCUGUUGGCUCUGUAGGCAAACUGCAGAGGGUCCAGGAGGGGGUUGGUGAUGGACUUCAGGUGGGAUAAAACCAGGCGUCCAAAGGUCUUUAUGACUACAAACGUAAGAGCCACUGGCCUGUAGUCAUUAAGUCCAGUUACGUUAAGUUUUUUGGGGACGGGAACAAUGGUGGAGGACUUCAAAUAGGCUGGAACAUGGCAUGACUCCAGGGAGGUGUUGAAGAUCCCCGUGAAGACUGGAGCUAGCUCAUUAGCACAGUGUCUCAGAGUGGCAGGAGAGACACAGUCCGGGCCAGCAGCCUUGUGUGGA
rnacentral:lncRNA from 1 species